CCGAGUGGCGAACGGGUGAGGAACGCGUGGACAACCUACCCCGGCGUGGGGAUACCCGCCAGAAAUGGCGGCUAAUACCGCGUACGGUUCUCCGGCGAAGGGCUGGGGAAAGAAAGCAGUAAUGCGCGCUGGGAGGGGUCUGCGGCCGAUUAGCUUGUUGGCGGGGUAACGGCCCACCAAGGCGAUGAUCGGUAGCUGGUCUGAGAGGAUGAUCAGCCACACGGGGACUGAGACGCGGCCCCG
rnacentral:rRNA from 1 species